ACAGCAUUAAUUCGGUUUUACACCAACUGCAAAGCAUUGGAUGAUGCACGCAAGAUGUUCGAUGAAAUUACUGACAUUGAUGUUAUUCAAUGUAAUGUUUUAAUGAGUGGGCACCUUCAAUGCGGACUAGCCAAGGAGACAUUGAGUAUUUUCCAGGAUAUGCUGGGGCGUGGAGUUAGUGCGGAUGAGUAUUGUGUGACCACAGCGCUUUCGGCCUGUGCUCAUUUAGGUGCUCUUGAGCAAGGGAAGUGGAUUCAUGAGCAUGUUAUGAAGAGUGAGUGG
rnacentral:lncRNA from 1 species